CCACAACAAUGACAGUAGCAGCUGCAGCAGCAGCAGCAGCAGCAACAGCAACAACAACAACAACAACAACAACAACGUUCAAGGUAAUAACAGAGUAUAAAUUAAAGACUCUGAGUCAGAUUUACACAGACACAGUGUCUUUUGCCUAAACCCGAUGGUAACCAGAUGGUGAGGGGCAAGCACAAGAACAUAAGCAACAGAAAUCAAUACUACUUGACAACAUCAGAACCCUGUUCUCAAACCACAACAAGCACACCUGAUACCCUGGAUACCCCAGUACACCUGAAAAGUACCCUUGGGAGCCAGAGGAAGGCAUCAGAUCCCUGAAAUUGCAAAUGGUUUUGAGCCACUUGAUGGGGCAGCUUGGAACUAAACCCAGAGCCUCUGCAAAGGUUCUGGAUGUAGCUACAAGGCAGAGUUCUUGCUUAGUGUGUAUAAAGUCAAGCAUCAGCACCAAAAUAAAGUGG